rnacentral:rRNA from 1 species
GACGUAGGGCGCGAGCGUUGUCCGGAUUUAUUGGGCGUAAAGAGCUCGUAGGCGGCUCGUUGCGUCGGCUGUGAAAACCCGCGGCUCAACUGUGGGCUUGCAGCUGAUACGGGCGGGCUGGAGUUCGGUAGGGGAGACUGGAAUUCCUCGUGUAGCGGUGAAAUGCGCAGAUAUCAGGAGGAACACCGGUGGCGAAGGCGGGUCUCUGGGCCGAUACUGACGCUGAGGAGCGAAAGCGUGGGGAGCGAACAGG